GAUGAAGAACGUAGCGAAAUGCGAUAAGUAAUGUGAAUUGCAGAAUUCAGUGAAUCAUCGAAUCUUUGAACGCAUAUUGCGCUCUCUGGUAUUCCGGAGAGCAUGCUUGUUUGAGUAUCAGUAAACACCUCAACUCCCCUUUCUUUUUUUGAAAUGGGAGCUGGACUUGAGUGAUCCCAACGCUUUUCUCACCGAAAAGUGGCGGGUUACUUGAAAUGCAGGUGCAGCUGGACUUUUCUCUGAGCUAAAAGCAUAUCUAUUUAGUCUGCCUAAAAAACAGAUUAUUACCUUUGCUGCAGCUAACAUAAAGGAGAUUAGUUCUUGUGCUGACUGAUGCAGGAUUCACAGAGACAGCUUCGGCUGGCCUUUGUAAACUUGAUCUCAAAUCAAGUAAGACUACCCGCUGAACUUAAGCAUAUCAAUAAGCGGAGGA
rnacentral:misc_RNA from 1 species